rnacentral:rRNA from 1 species
GGUUAAGCGACUAAGCGUACACGGUGGAUGCCCUGGCAGUCAGAGGCGAUGAAGGACGUGCUAAUCUGCGAAAAGCGUCGGUAAGGUGAUAUGAACCGUUAUAACCGGCGAUGUCCGAAUGGGGAAACCCAGUGCAAUUCGUUGCACUAUCGUUAACUGAAUACAUAGGUUAACGAGGCGAACCGGGGGAACUGAAACAUCUAAGUACCCCGAGGAAAAGAAAUCAACCGAGAUUCCCCCAGUAGCGGCGAGCGAACGGGGAGCAGCCCAGAGUCUGAAUCAGCUUGUGUGUUAGUGGAACGGUCUGGAAAGUCCGACGGUACAGGGUGAUAGUCCCGUACACCAAAAUGCACAGGCUGUGAACUCGAAGAGUAGGGCGGGACACGUGGUAUCCUGUCUGAAUAUGGGGGGACCAUCCUCCAAGGCUAAAUACUCCUGACUGACCGAUAGUGAACCAGUACCGUGAGGGAAAGGCGAAAAGAACCCCGGCGAGGGGAGUGAAAAAGAACCUGAAACCGUGUACGUACAAGCAGUGGGAGCACCUUCGGGUGUGACUGCGUACCUUUUGUAUAAUGGGUCAGCGACUUAUAUUCUGUAGCAAGGUUAACCGUAUAGGGGAGCCGCAGGGAAACCGAGUCUUAACUGGGCGUUAAGUUGCAGGGUAUAGACCCGAAACCCGGUGAUCUAGCCAUGGGCAGGUUGAAGGUUGGGUAACACUAACUGGAGGACCGAACCGACUAAUGUUGAAAAAUUAGCGGAUGACUUGUGGCUGGGGGUGAAAGGCCAAUCAAACCGGGAGAUAGCUGGUUCUCCCCGAAAGCUAUUUAGGUAGCGCCUCGUGAAUUCAUCUUCGGGGGUAGAGCACUGUUUCGGCUAGGGGGUCAUCCCGACUUACCAACCCGAUGCAAACUACGAAUACCGAAGAAUGUUAUCACGGGAGACACACGGCGGGUGCUAACGUCCGUCGUGAAGAGGGAAACAACCCAGACCGCCAGCUAAGGUCCCAAAGUCAUGGUUAAGUGGGAAACGAUGUGGGAAGGCACAGACAGCCAGGAUGUUGGCUUAGAAGCAGCCAUCAUUUAAAGAAAGCGUAAUAGCUCACUGGUCGAGUCGGCCUGCGCGGAAGAUGUAACGGGGCUAAACCAUGCACCGAAGCUGCGGCAGCGACACUAUGUGUUGUUGGGUAGGGGAGCGUUCUGUAAGCCUGCGAAGGUGACCUGUGAGGGUUGCUGGAGGUAUCAGAAGUGCGAAUGCUGACAUAAGUAACGAUAAAGCGGGUGAAAAGCCCGCUCGCCGGAAGACCAAGGGUUCCUGUCCAACGUUAAUCGGGGCAGGGUGAGUCGACCCCUAAGGCGAGGCCGAAAGGCGUAGUCGAUGGGAAACAGGUUAAUAUUCCUGUACUUGGUGUUACUGCGAAGGGGGGACGGAGAAGGCUAUGUUAGCCGGGCGACGGUUGUCCCGGUUUAAGCAUGUAGGCUGGUUGUCCAGGCAAAUCCGGAUAAUCAAGGCUGAGGUGUGAUGACGAGGCACUACGGUGCUGAAGUAACAAAUGCCCUGCUUCCAGGAAAAGCCUCUAAGCAUCAGGUAACAUUAAAUCGUACCCCAAACCGACACAGGUGGUCAGGUAGAGAAUACCAAGGCGCUUGAGAGAACUCGGGUGAAGGAACUAGGCAAAAUGGUGCCGUAACUUCGGGAGAAGGCACGCUGGUGUGUAGGUGAAG